GACGAACGCUGGCGGCGUGCUUAACACAUGCAAGUCGAACGGAAAGGCCCUGCUUUUGUGGGGUGCUCGAGUGGCGAACGGGUGAGUAACACGCGAGUAACCUGCCCUUGACUUUGGGAUAACUUCAGGAAACUGGGGCUCAUAUCGGAUAGGAGCUCCUGCUGCAUGGUGGGGGUUGGUAAGUUUCGGCGGUUGGGGAUGGACUCGCGGCUUAUCAGCUUGUUGGUGGGGUAGUGGCUUACCAAGGCUUUGACGGGUAGCCGGCCUGAGAGGGUGACCGGCCACAUUGGGACUGAGAUACGGCCCAGACUCCUACGGGAGGCAGCAGUGGGGAAUAUUGCACAAUGGGCGGAAGCCUGAUGCAGCAACGCCGCGUGCGGGAUGACGGCCUUCGGGUUGUAAACCGCUUUCGCCUGUGACGAAGCGUGAGUGACGGUAAUGGGUAAAAAAGCACCGGCUAACUACGUG
rnacentral:rRNA from 1 species